rfam:Methylosinus sp. R-45379 contig_2, whole genome shotgun sequence.
GCCGGUUUAGCUCAGCUGGUAGAGCAACUGAUUUGUAAUCAGUAGGUCGCGGGUUCGAAUCCUGCAACCGGCA